UACGUAGGUGGCAAGCGUUGUCCGGAUUUACUGGGCGUAAAGAGUGCGUAGGCGGUUUUCUAAGUUUGGUGUGAAAUCUCCCGGCUUAACUGGGAGGGUGCGCCGAAGACUGGAAGGCUUGAGUAUGGGAGAGGUAAGCGGAAUUCCUGGUGUAGCGGUGAAAUGCGUAGAUAUCAGGAGGAACACCUGCGGUGUAGACGGCUUACUGGACCAUAACUGACGCUGAGGCACGAAAGCGUGGGUAGCAAACAGG
rnacentral:rRNA from 1 species